UCUUUAAUGGAGAGUUUGAUCCUGGCUCAGGACGAACGCUGGCGGCGUGCCUAAUACAUGCAAGUCGAGCGGGGUUAGUUAGAAGCUUGCUUCUAACUAACUUAGCGGCGGACGGGUGAGUAACACGUAGGCAACCUGCCCACAAGACAGGGAUAACUACCGGAAACGGUAGCUAAUACCCGAUACAUCCUUUUCCUGCAUGGGAGAAGGAGGAAAGGCGGAGCGAUCUGUCACUUGUGGAUGGGCCUGCGGCGCAUUAGCUAGUUGGUGGGGUAAA
rnacentral:rRNA from 1 species